UUUUAUGAGAGUUUGAUCCUGGCUCAGGACGAACGCUGGCGGCGUGCCUAAUACAUGCAAGUCGAACGCUUCUUUUUCCACCGGAGCUUGCUCCACCGGAAAAAGAGGAGUGGCGAACGGGUGAGUAACACGUGGGUAACCUGCCCAUCAGAAGGGGAUAACACUUGGAAACAGGUGCUAAUACCGUAUAACAAUCAAAACCGCAUGGUUUUGAUUUGAAAGGCGCUUUCGGGUGUCGCUGAUGGAUGGACCCGCGGUGCAUUAGCUAGUUGGUGAGGUAACGGCUCACCAAGGCCACGAUGCAUAGCCGACCUGAGAGGGUGAUCGGCCACAUUGGGACUGAGACACGGCCCAAACUCCUACGGGAGGCAGCAGUAGGGAAUCUUCGGCAAUGGACGAAAGUCUGACCGAGCAACGCCGCGUGAGUGAAGAAGGUUUUCGGAUCGUAAAACUCUGUUGUUAGAGAAGAACAAGGAUGAGAGUAACUGUUCAUCCCUUGACGGUAUCUAACCAGAAAGCCACGGCUAACUACGUGCCAGCAGCCGCGGUAAUACGUAGGUGGCAAGCG
rnacentral:rRNA from 1 species